rnacentral:rRNA from 2 species
GUGAAUACGUUCCCGGGCCUUGUACACACCGCCCGUCACACCAUGGGAGUGGGUUGCAAAAGAAGUAGGUAGCUUAACCUUCGGGAGGGCGCUUACCACUUUGUGAUUCAUGACUGGGGUGAAGUCGUAACAAGGUAACCGUAGGGGAACCUGCGGUUGGAUCACCUCCUUA